UACGGGGGGGGCAAGCGUUGUUCGGAAUUACUGGGCGUAAAGGGCGCGUAGGCGGCCUGCUAAGUCGGACGUGAAAUCCCUCGGCUCAACCGAGGAACUGCGUCCGAUACUGGUGGGCUUGAAUCCGGGAGAGGGAUGUGGAAUUCCAGGUGUAGCGGUGAAAUGCGUAGAUAUCUGGAGGAACACCGGUGGCGAAGGCGGCAUCCUGGACCGGUAUUGACGCUGAGGCGCGAAAGCGUGGGUAGCAAACAGG
rnacentral:rRNA from 1 species